GGUUGUAGUGGUCCACAGAUGAUGAUGACACGGAUGCAUCUAUUGACAACAUGGAAGAGGAGGGUAGAUAUCAUGGAUGGGAAUGCGGCUACAUGGUUCUCCAACAUAUGUUUGACUUUGUCAAUUUGUAUCAAAACCAGUUUCCCGAGGAAAUGUGGCACGACACGAGAGAGGCUACGGAUAAUGAAAUAGAUGUUUUGUUGAUGACGUUGAUGCCGAAGUUUUUUAGCGAGUUAGGUAUUUCGCUAGAUUAGCGUAUGUAGUUUAUUUAUACAAUUAAACGUAGUUUGUUAUGCAUUCACAAAUGAUUGUAGUUUGACGGGUUUAUCUCCGAAUUGGAUGUCUACGGGUUUAUUUUCGAUUUGAAUAUGUAUUGUUUUGG